rnacentral:rRNA from 1 species
UACGAAGGGGGCUAGCGUUGCUCGGAAUCACUGGGCGUAAAGGGUGCGUAGGCGGGUCUUUAAGUCAGGGGGGAAAUCCUGGAGCUCAACUCCAGAACUGCCUUUGAUACUGAGGAUCUUGAGUUCGGGAGAGGUGAGUGGAACUGCGAGUGUAGAGGUGAAAUUCGUAGAUAUUCGCAAGAACACCAGUGGCGAAGGCGGCUCACUGGCCCGAUACUGACGCUGAGGUGCGAAAGCGUGGGGAGCGAACAGG